GGCUUGCAACACUCACCGAUUUGCUGCAGAGAUGGCUGGGGCAGCGGCAGCCACGGUCAGGCUAUGGUCGACUAAUGAACUUCUGGAAUUAAUGCCGGAAUUCAGCUGCGAUGACGUUGCUGCUGCAGUCGCUGCUGCUGCUUCUGCUGUUGUUGCGGUUGUUGCGGCUGCUGCUGCUGUUGGUAUUGUUGCUGCAGGGACUGCUUGCGCUGCUUGUGCUGCUGCUGGAACGUUCUGCAGCGUUGCUGCUGUUGUGCUGGAAU
rnacentral:sRNA from 1 species